GACGAGCUCUCCAAACGUUAUUCGGUAUUACUGGGCUUAAAGAGUUCGUAGGCGGUCUUGUAGGUGAGGUGUGAAAGCCCUCGGCUUAACCGAGGAAUUGCGCUUCAAACCGCGAGGCUUGAGGGAGGUAGGGGUAUGCGGAACAGAUGGUGGAGCGGUGAAAUGCGUUGAUAUCAUCUGGAACACCGGUGGCGAAAGCGGCAUACUGGACCUUUUCUGACGCUGAGGAACGAAAGCUAGGGUAGCGAACGGG
rnacentral:rRNA from 1 species